rfam:Xenopus tropicalis strain Nigerian Chr09_contig_2, whole genome shotgun sequence.
CCAAAGGCUCUUUUCAGAGCCCCCACUCGGUCAGUCUCAGAGCUGU